rnacentral:rRNA from 1 species
UUGAACGCUGGCGGCAGGCCUAACACAUGCAAGUCGAGCGGUAGAGAGGUGCUUGCACCUCUUGAGAGCGGCGGACGGGUGAGUAAUGCCUAGGAAUCUGCCUGGUAGUGGGGGAUAACGUUCGGAAACGGACGCUAAUACCGCAUACGUCCUACGGGAGAAAGCAGGGGACCUUCGGGCCUUGCGCUAUCAGAUGAGCCUAGGUCGGAUUAGCUAGUUGGUGAGGUAAUGGCUCACCAAGGCGACGAUCCGUAACUGGUCUGAGAGGAUGAUCAGUCACACUGGAACUGAGACACGGUCCAGACUCCUACGGGAGGCAGCAGUGGGGAAUAUUGGACAAUGGGCGAAAGCCUGAUCCAGCCAUGCCGCGUGUGUGAAGAAGGUCUUCGGAUUGUAAAGCACUUUAAGUUGGGAGGAAGGGCAGUUACCUAAUACGUAUCUGUUUUGACGUUACCGACAGAAUAAGCACCGGCUAACUCUGUGCCAGCAGCCGCGGUAAUACAGAGGGUGCAAGCGUUAAUCGGAAUUACUGGGCGUAAAGCGCGCGUAGGUGGUUCGUUAAGUUUGGAUGUGAAAUCCCCGGGCUCAACCUGGGAACUGCAUUCAAAACUGACGAGCUAGAGUAUGGUAGA